rnacentral:rRNA from 1 species
AUUUUGGGGGCCAAAUUGGAAACGUAAAAGGUUCUUGAACCCCAGGCCCAAUGCCUGCGUUGCAUGAAUGACUGUNCCUAUGGGUUUGUAAACUGCUUUUCUACGGGAAGAAACACUCCGACGUGUCGGAGCUUGACGGUACCGUAGUGAUAAGGAUCUGCUAACUCCGUGCCAGCAGCCGCGGUCAUACGUAGGAUCCAAGCGUUGUCCGGAUUCAUUGGGUUUAAAGGGUGCGUAGGCGGGCUAUUAAGUCAGAGGUGAAAUCUUGCGGCUCAACCGUAAAAUUGCCUUUGAAACUGGUAGUCUUGAGUUCGGUCGAGGUGGAUGGAAUGUGCCAUGUAGCGGUGAAAUGCUUAGAUAUGACCCAGCACACCAAUUGCGAAGGCAGUUCACUAGACCGACACUGACGCUGAGGCACGAAAGCGUGGGGAGCGAACAGGAUUAGAUACCCUGGUAGUCCACGCCCUAAACGAUGAUUACUCGCUGUUGGCGAUAUACUGUCAGCGGCUAAGCGAAAGCGUUAAGUAAUCCACCUGGGGAGUACGAUCGCAAGGUUGAAACUCAAAGGAAUUGACGGGGGCCCGCACAAGCGGAGGAGCAUGUGGUUUAAUUCGAUGAUACGCGAGGAACCUUACCUGGGCUUAAAUGGCAUUCGGUAUCCGCUGCCGAAAGGUGGCUUUUCUUUCUGGUAUACUGAUGUUCAAGGUGUCUGCAUGGUCUGUCGUCAUGCUCGUGCCGUAGGU